AUUGAACGCUGGCGGCAGGCCUAACACAUGCACGUCGAACGAGUGGCGGACGGGUGAGUAAUGUCUGGGAAACUGCCCGAUGGAGGGGGAUAACUACUGGAAACGGUAGCUAAUACCGCAUACCAUCGGAUGUUCCCAGAUGGGAUUAGCUUGUAGGUGAGGUAACGGCUCACCUAGGCGACGAUCCCUAGCUGGUCUGAGAGGAUGACCAGCCACACUGGAACUGAGACACGUUCCAGACUCCGACGUGCGGCAGCAGUGGGAAAUAGUGCAAAGUGGGCGCAAGCCUAAUGAAGCCAGGCCGCGUGUAGGAAGAAGGCCUUCGGGUUGUAAAGUACUUUCAGCGGGGAGGCGUUACCCGCAGAAGAAGCACCGGCGAACUCCGUGCCAGCAGCCGCGGUAAGUC
rnacentral:rRNA from 1 species